rnacentral:lncRNA from 1 species
CAGGAAGCAAGAGUAGUGGUGUAAACAUCACGGUGCUUAGACCACUGAGCAUCACCCUCUCAUGUGCUGCUCCGCCCAGGCUGUGCACACGGGACACGGUGACUGUGAUCCAGACGCUUCUGGAAAAGGAACAAGGCAGGCGCGGGAUCCAGGAGAGUGGCCAUGAAUACUUGCUAUGUUCAUUAAGCAGCAGUUCCACAACUAAUUGUGUCACUGUGAUCAUUAUCUUGGCAUGCUGCACUGAUUCAUUUUUGGACACGAUUACAUAGCCAAAUAUAGAAAGCUAAUCUGAAAUACCCG